rnacentral:misc_RNA from 1 species
GGAAUGGAAUACAAAGGUUUUCUUGCUUCAGUGGAUUCAUACAUGAAUCUACAGCUGGGUAACACUGAAGAAUAUAUUGACGGUCAAUUCACUGGAAAUCUUGGAGAGAUUCUGAUCAGGUGCAACAAUGUUCUCUAUCUUCGAGGUGUCCCGGAGGAUGAAGACAUAGAAGAUGCAGACCACGACUGAGAAGUGGAUUUCAGUUAUUGAAUUGGUAGGCCUCUUGUAGUUCCUGUUCAAGCCAAUGAUGGUAGGCAUUUGUUGUUUAAAUCUGAUGUUGUCCAUGACAUGUACCUUGUCUAGUUAACAAACUGAUAUAACUUUAUUAUGGAUUUGAUGCAUUCGAAAU